CCUACGGGCGGCAGCAGUGGGGAAUAUUGGACAAUGGGCGAAAGCCUGAUCCAGCCAUGCCGCGUGUGUGAAGAAGGCCUUCGGGUUGUAAAGCACUUUCAGUGGGGAAGAAAGCCUUGGGGCUAAUACCCUCGAGGAAGGACAUCACCCACAGAAGAAGCACCGGCUAACUCCGUGCCAGCAGCCGCGGUAAUACGGAGGGUGCGAGCGUUAAUCGGAAUUACUGGGCGUAAAGCGCGCGUAGGCGGUCUGAUAAGCCGGUUGUGAAAGCCCCGGGCUCAACCUGGGAACGGCAUCCGGAACUGUCAGGCUAGAGUGCAGGAGAGGAAGGUAGAAUUCCCGGUGUAGCAGUGAAAUGCGUAGAGAUCGGGAGGAAUACCAGUGGCGAAGGCGGCCUUCUGGACUGACACUGACGCUGAGGUGCGAAAGCGUGGGUAGCGAACAGGAUUAGAUACCCCAGUAGUC
rnacentral:rRNA from 1 species